UCCAGGGUAGCCUAGUGGACAUGGCAUCUGCUCGGUAAGCGGAACACUGUGGGUUCGAUUCCCAUUCCUGGAU
rnacentral:tRNA from 1 species